rnacentral:lncRNA from 1 species
GCUAGUGAGAUUGUUUCACCCUUGAUCAGAUAUCUCGAGUUCGAGCUCUAAAUAUAAAGAAACUCAUGUGGGGAGCCGCAUCCCCAGAAUAAGCCCUAUAAUAGGCGAAAGCUCCAUUAAUGUGAAUACCCGACACCAAACGAGGAUCCAACUCAUAAUGCACACUUGACUUUUAUCAUCAGAUGGUCGUGAGGGGUGUG